rnacentral:rRNA from 1 species
UACGUAGGGGGCAAGCGUUGUCCGGAUUCAUUGGGCGUAAAGAGCGUGUAGGCGGCCAGGUAGGUCGGUUGUGAAAACUGGAGGCUUAACCUCCAGACGUCGACGGAAACCGUAUGGCUAGAGUCCGGAAGAGGAGAGUGGAAUUCCUGGUGUAGCGGUGAAAUGCGCAGAUAUCAGGAAGAACACCAAUGGCGAAGGCAGCUCUCUGGGACGGUACUGACGCUGAGACGCGAAAGCGUGGGGAGCGAACAGG